rnacentral:rRNA from 1 species
CUACGGGAUGCACCAGUGAGGAAUUUUGCGCAAUGGGCGAAAGCCUGACGCAGCAACGCCGCGUGAGUGACGAAGGCCUUCGGGUCGUAAAGCUCUGUCAAGCGGGAAGAACCCGCGGACGUCCAACAAGCGUCCGCGCUGACGGUACCGCUGAAGGAAGCACCGGCUAACUCCGUGCCAGCAGCCGCGGUAAUACGGAGGGUGCGAGGUUAUUCGGAAUUAUUGGGCGUAAAGGGCGCGCAGGCGGCCCUGAAAGUCAGAUGUGAAAGCCCGGGGCUCAACCCCGGAAGUGCAUUUGAUACUGCAGGGCUUGAGUAUGGGAGAGGGAAGUGGAAUUCCUGGUGUAGAGGUGAAAUUCGUAGAUAUCAGGAGGAACACCGGUGGCGAAGGCGACUUCCUGGACCAAUACUGACGCUGAGGCGCGAAGGCGUGGGGAGCAAACAGGAUUAGAUACCCCUGUAGUC